GGGAAUUAUUUUUAUUUAUUUAUUUACUUACUUAUUUAUUAGUCUUGUAUACCGCUACUCCCAGUUUGGCUCGGAGUGGUUUACAGAAAUAGAUUAAAACAAUACAAUAAAACAAUAAAACGGAAACCCCCUCUAUUUACACCCCACUUGAGUUUCCACUUGAGCAGCCCCAGUGAGGCCCACACCCCCAAGGCCAGGGUGAUGCACCAUGACAACGACUGUGAUGCGCCAAAGGUUCUGUGACAGUUGAGGCUGUCAGUUGUGACAGGGAGGAGGAGGAGGAGACCCAGUCCUGGGGCCAAAGGGGCCGGAAAGGAGUCAUAAGGGGCUUCCCAUGCCCGGAAAAAGAAAUGGAGAAUGAUUUCCCAUCACCAGGUAAGAGACGGAGGGGAGGAAGGAAGGAGACCCAGGUAAGGGAUGGAGAGGAAGUAUAUUCAAUCAUAAGGUAGGAGAAGAGGAAGGCCACACAAUGACCAGGUAAGGAAGGAAGAGGAAACAUACCCAAUAAUCAGGUAGGUGAUGAAGAGGAAGGACACACAAUCCUCAGGUAAGAGAAGAGGAAGGCAAACACAUGAUCAGGUAAGAGAAGAGGAAGGCUACAAAAUUAUCAGGUAAGCGAAGAAGAGGAAUUGUGCUCUCUUAUCAUGAAAGUGAUGAAGAAGUAUAUUCAAUCAUAAGGUAAGAGAAGAGGAAGAAUACACAAUCAUCAGGCAAGGAAUGAAGAGGAAAAACACCCAAUAAUCAGGUAGGUGAUGAAGAGGAAAAAUACACAAUUAUCAGGUAAGUGAUGAAGAGGAAGAAUACACAAUUGUCAGGUAAGCGAUGAAGAGGAAGUAUAUUCAAUGAUCAGGUAAGAGAAAAGGAAGGCCACAAAAUGAUCAGGUAAGGGAUGAAGAGGAGAAAUACCUAAUACUCAGGUAGGUGAUGAAGAGGAAGGACACACAAUCCUCAGGUAAGAGAAGAGGAAGGCAAACACAUUACCAGGUAAGAGAAGAGGAAGGCUACAAAAUCUUCACGCAAGGAAUGAAGAAGAAACAUACCUAAUCAUCAGGUAAGGGAUGAAGAGGAAGGACACCCAACUCUCAGGUAAGGGAAGAGGCAUUUUUCAAUCCCCAGGUAUUUCUAAUCCCCAGAAGCAUCCAAGGAAGUGGAUCUGCAUGAAGAGAAAUCAAGUAGGAAGGAAGAAGUAAAACA